AACAAAUAUUAAACCUCUACACAUAUAAAUUUAUACCCUUAAAAAUAAAUGAAACAUGUUUUUACUAUAGAGCCAAAGAUUAAAAAUUGUUUUGUUUCUCUCUUCUGUUCAGCCUCAACCUUGAAGCAAACAUGGUAGUAGUGACAUAAAUCCACGACGGCACCUCUACACAACCAGAGCGGCGCCGUCGCGAGUACUUAAAACCAACAUCAAAACUCCUAACCAAAUAAUCGUUCCUGAACCCAAAUCUAAACAAACAGCAAAAUCCAAAGAGCCAGAUUCGGAAAACAAACACAAUCAGAAACCUGAGUUUUCAGCUCAAAAUCAAAACCAUGGCAACAACAAUUUUAUGCAAUAAUCAUGGGGUUUGCAUUCAAUGAGGCGAUACAAACAAAAUGGCAAUAUCAAAUCAUGCAAAGGAGAAAUGUUAAAUACCAAAUCGGAGCUAGUCCGACGUUUCAGCCCCGGCAAGGUGAGGGGGCUUAGCUCGAGCUUGUUGAGCUUCGGUGUGAAAAUCUCAACAAGUUCAAAACAGAGCUUUUUUAACUAGGGCUUUGGAAUGAUUUCUCCAGAGUAACGGCGCAGAAAUUCGGAUCCCUACUUCAUCCCUGGAGGUCCUUAUUUAUAGCAUUUUUGAUGUACGAGGUUUUGAAUUCCUCUCUCAUGAGCUUGGCAAGUUAGUGGGAGAAUCAUUCCGUUAGGUAGCAGAAUUUCUCAGAGUUAGUGGUGCUUCAAAUCGGUGUGGUCCCUCAAAUGGCAGGAUGAGGUUUUGUCUGUAGUGAAUCCGUGGUUUAUGUUGUGAUAGAUGCAUGUUUACAAGGUUUGGAAGAUUGACGAGUAUGUUUCAUCGUGACAGGUUUUGUCAUGCUAUCAUGCUAUCUUGAAUGCUGACUGCUGGAUUGGUUUCUCUCACAUAUCUUAGGACAUGUUUGGUUUUGGUUGAAGGAUGGGUAGGUAGAUGGCAUAGUUAUGUGAUGGAUAGACUUGCAUCAUGAGUUUGGCAUGUGGUUGUGCAUUAUUGGCUGUUGUAAAGAUUGAAGUCAUGGUGAUGGUGAAUUCAUGAUGCUUGGUAUCACUUUGUUGUUGUAGUGAUUCCGGGCUGGUGUAUAACGGCAGCAUUUUGUCCUGUUCGGCCUUAGGUUGCUUCUUUACAGGUCAUGUACCAGUCAAUUUCAUGAAGUGGCUCGUGCAUAAUUAACAAGUUAAGGUUUCUGAUGUUAACCAAAUGGCCCUGCAGUGGAUUUCUAUCCUGCAAUAUGGUCGGUUAUUUGUGGCUCACAGUUUUGCUAAACUCCACGGGUGCUGUUAUGCCGACAUAAGUUGGCGAGUAACUUCAAGUUCCAUGAUUUCACUUCUGUUUUGAAAGUGUAGGUGCCUGUUUGCUGAAGAUCCUGACAGUCUAUAUUUGGGAUAACAUCCUCUUCGUGGUUCUUCAACGUAGCAUCCAACCUUACAUUUUUCUGGAUAAAAUCUUUGUUGAAUGAUGACCUACCAUAAUCAAACAAAUUGUUGUAAAUAAUAGCACUCCGGUCCGGUGCAAACGCAGCCGUUUUGGACAUCCUUAGUUCGAAAGACUUGGAGUCCCAGUUUUUGAAGACUCUGAUGUAAUUUCAUGCAUCAAGCGGACUUUUUUUUUUCAUGUAGAAGACUGAGUUUAAACAUGCCGUAAACUCUAUCGGCAACACUCUCGGUGGAAUUCCCAUAUUUCUCCUUGGCUUAGUGAUGAACAUUGAUUAUAAAACAUAGGCCAUAAUAAGUGUACUGAAACCUUGGUUAAAUUUGUGUGAUACAGGUGAUGCAGGCUGGACUGCGCUUAUCCGGACACGGCAUGUUGCUUGUUAAAUCUUUUGGAAAUCUGUUUCUUCUUGUAAUGUCAUUGAUUCUCUUGGCUGCUUUGAAUUUCAGCUCGGUAUUUUUUCGCAGGGCCUAAUUCCUCAACACAAAACUGUUAAGGCAUGUUGCUUGGUUUGUGGACUUUGUAGGCUGUGGAGCGAGAUUGUAAUGGGCUGCAGGGAAAAUCUAGGAAAGCAUCAUGGCAAAGGGAUGUUUAAUUUCCAGUUUGAAGCUUAUUCCUUUCGUUUGACUUGAUUGUAACGUAACUUAGAUCAUUGGACUGUUUGUAACCAACAGCGUGACUUCUCAUGGUUAUACUUGAAACAAUUGUGUUUGUAAAAAAAA